rnacentral:rRNA from 1 species
UCCUACGGGAGGCAGCAGUGGGGAAUAUUGCACAAUGGGCGCAAGCCUGAUGCAGCCAUGCCGCGUGUGUGAAGAAGGCCUUCGGGUUGUAAAGCACUUUCAGUCGUGAGGAAGGUAGUGUAGUUAAUAGCUGCAUUAUUUGACGUUAGCGAAAGAAGAAGCACCGGCUAACUCCGUGCCAGCAGCCGCGGUAAUACGGAGGGUGCGAGCGUUAAUCGGAAUUACUGGGCGUAAAGCGCAUGCAGGUGGUUUGUUAAGUCAGAUGUGAAAGCCCGGGGCUCAACCUCGGAAUAGCAUUUGAAACUGGCAGACUAGAGUACUGUAGAGGGGGGUAGAAUUUCAGGUGUAGCGGUGAAAUGCGUAGAGAUCUGAAGGAAUACCGGUGGCGAAGGCGGCCCCCUGGACAGAUACUGACACUCAGAUGCGAAAGCGUGGGGAGCAAACAGGAUUAGAUACCCUGGUAGUCCACGCCGUAAACGAUGUCUACUUGGAGGUUGUGGCCUUGAGCCGUGGCUUUCGGAGCUAACGCGUUAAGUAGACCGCCUGGGGAGUACGGUCGCAAGAUUAAAACUCAAAGGAAUUGACGGA